CUAGUUCCGGGGAGCCCGGGCGGCGAGGGCGGCGGACGCAGCCAGGCUGGAGGUUCCGGGCAGGCGCGGGGGAGCGGUGGCGGCGGCGAGCGGACUCCGGACACCGGGCAGGCGUCUGGGCACGGCGCGGCGGGGAAGAUGACUCGGGCUCCUGCUCGCUCCUCCUGCUGCUCUCGCUCUCCGGCUCGCUCUGGGACUUCACAGAAGACCAGGCCAGAGAUGCUGUCAGAAGCUUCCUGCGACUACACCCAUUAGGAGGCAUCAUAGCAAAUGUCUUCUGAGGACUUCAUCCCCUGUACAGGCAGGCCCCAUGACCUCCUACAAGCUGAUCCAGCCAUGCUUGAUGUCAAUUGCCCUGGGACAGACAGGUGGGCUCACCUGCUCUGGAGAUAGCAUUGGGGUAAAUAUACUUAUUGGUACCAGCAGAAGCCAGGCCAGGUCCCUAAGCUGGUCAUAUAUGAGGACAGCAAAUGGCCCUCUGGGAUCCCUGAGUGAUUCUGUGUGUCCAACUCCAGGAGCAUGGCCACCCUGACCAUCAUUGGGGCUGAGGAUGAGGCUGACUAUGACUGUCAGGUGUGAGAUAGUGACAGUGAUGCUUCUCAAAAUGACACCAAGCAGAUGGGGAAAUAAGACAAAAACCCAUUCCCCUGUCUGUGUCUCACUCUCCCUCAGCCCCAGGAGGAUUGAGGACAAACAAUGAGCAAGUUUGGCCUGGAGCACUCAGAUCUGAGACCCCCAGGCUGCCCAGGCUGCCCAAAACUCCACAACACUCUGAGUUCCCGGCCAGGUCAGUGGGUCUGAGAGCAUUGGGGAAAACGGAGCUGGGUCACCCUUGUAAGACUCUAGAUGGGGUCCAGGACCAGAGGCCCCCUCAGGGCCCAGGGGCCCCCAGACCAAUUGGAGGGGACAGAAUUGAGGUGGCACACAUGGAGCUUGGUGGCCACACUACCCAGUGUCCUCAGCCACCAGGAAAAAUAUGGAGACAUCAGGGAGCUGGAUGGAGCCCACCUGAGGGACCCUGUCCCAGGCCAGGAGGACCCACCUGGAGGCCAUAAGUCCCUGCUCAGCACCUGCCCAGGUCACCUGAUUCAUGUCCUGGAAGUUCUGUUUUACCACCCCUGACCUCACAACCCCAUCACCCCCUCACCCCCAGAUUCCUCUUUCUUAACUAAUGUCACUUAUACACGUUCUGGCUUUGAUUCUCGACUCCCACAGGGAUGGCCCCUGUUCUCUCAGCUCCUCAAACCUACCAGAGCCCCACAGGACCCAGAUGUAGCUCUUCCCCCAUGCUCUGCCCAUUCCCUCUUUCCUCUUAUCACAACAGCAGCUCCAAGGCCAACUUUGGGGAAGAUUUAUGCCCACCCCAGAUGAGAGAGCUCCCACCUGUCAUUUCCUGGCACAUUCUCCAAUAAUUUUCUGCAGAGCCCCUACCUCUGUGUGGUUCUCUCAUUGUCAUUAUUUUUCAUGUGAUUAAUUUAUGUUCAAAAUUUCCAUAAACCCCCCAGGAAUGCUCUGUCACUCCAAAGGCAUGUGUGACAGAGGGAGACAUGACCAAGUCAAAUGUUAUUCUUCUUCUCCAAAAAGUCUGUGUAGAUGGUUGUUUAUCCCAGUCACACACCAAUCCCUUGAGGGUCCCAGGAUCUUGGAGUCCCCUUUUUUGUGCACUAUGGUGAUUUUGCUUUCAUCUUUAUGCACUUAAGGGCUCUCCAGUCCCUGCUCAGCACCUGCCCAGGUAACCUGAUUUAUGUCCUGGAAGUUUCCUUUUACCACCCCUGACCUCAGAACCCCAUCACCCCCUCACCCCCAGAUUCCUCUUUCUUAAGUAAUGUCACUUAUACACUGCGGGAUACUGAUUACGUGCUUCAACUUGGCGGGCCUGGGCCAGGGGACUGGAUCCGCCCCUGGGGAGGGUGGUGGGCACGGGCGGUAGCGCCCUCCACAGCCCCCCGGGCCUG